rnacentral:rRNA from 1 species
AGUGAACGCUGGCGGUAGGCCUAACACAUGCAAGUCGAACGGCAGCACAGUAAGAGCUUGCUCUUACGGGUGGCGAGUGGCGGACGGGUGAGGAAUACAUCGGAAUCUACUUUUUCGUGGGGGAUAACGUAGGGAAACUUACGCUAAUACCGCAUACGACCUACGGGUGAAAGCAGUGGAUCUUCGGACCUUGCGCGAUUGAAUGAGCCGAUGUCGGAUUAGCUAGUUGGCGGGGUAAAGGCCCACCAAGGCGACGAUCCGUAGCUGGUCUGAGAGGAGGAUCAGCCACACUGGAACUGAGACACGGUCCAGACUACUACGGGAGGCAGCAGUGGGGAAUAUUGGACAAUGGGCGCAAGCCUGAUCCAGCCAUACCGCGUGGGUGAAGAAGGCCUUCGGGUUGUAAAGCCCUUUUGUUGGGAAAGAAAAGCAGCAGGUUAAUACCCCGCUGUUCUGACGGUACCCAAAGAAUAAGCACCGGCUAACUUCGUG